UUACAUUAUAUAUUGCUUCACUUAAGUCUUCGGUUACUUGUGUCCUCAGCCUAUAAAUGCACCGAUUCUAGAAGAUAACAAUGCUCUUUUAUAGGAUCAGAAGAGUAGAAACCGUUAAACCAGAUACUGCCUAAAUCCAGUAAUAAAUAUAAUAUCCUUGGUUUGAAAAGCCAUCCUCCUGUUCAACAUUUUACCUUCUCUUUUCUCCAUGGUUGCUCAGAGUCCAUCUCUUUUCCUUGUGGUCCCACUUAGGGCAGCAGUUCACAGAAGGUUUCGUGCAAGAAGAGGCGUGAGCCUGGAAAGACCCUGGAGCUGAGGGCCAGGACCGCUGUGGUAUAGACACAGCAGGCUCCUGGGAAUCCCACUCCCGAAGUAGAAGCUCUGUGCCGGUGCUGGACAAUUAAAGAAUGAAAAAGAUAGUCAACCCCCAAAGGAGCUCAGCAUCACAGUAUGAAGACAGUGAUUUAUCUAAUCUUCUUGAAAACUCUGCAUUAUAAAGGUCACCUGGUAGGAAAAUGACUGUUAGAGUUCACCAAGGUUUUUUACUCUCCAUUUUCCCGUGUUCAUCGGAAGAGCUGGGAAAGAAGAGCCAUCAGCACAGGUGCCAUGUUGGAAGGGGAAUGCCAUAAGAUCCCAUCUACAUUGUUAGCAGCAUGGCAGGUUUGUGUAAAAUGAAUUCAGUCAGCAGCUCCUGUUGGGAAAGGAUAAUCCUGGUGCUUCCCGCACUUAAGAGGCGGGUAGAUUUUGUGUUUCCUUUUAGUUGCUCCAGAGAGAGGGGUGGUACUUUUAUGCAACCCCCUGAUGGCUGGUCAUCUCCUUUGAAACUGAUCUUCUUCAGAAAGGAGCACACAUGGUGGCACUGACUUUCUGUGUCUAGAAGGAUGAUGGUGUAACUGUUUGCUGCUGUGGGGUGUGUUUUGAAGGGUAUGAAAUACAUUUAGUUACAGAAACAGAACUACAGCUAUGACUACUGAUAUAGCCUAAAGCUAUCCCAUGCACAGAGAUAUGACCCUAUAAAUAUACACACAAAUUUAUCCCACCUAUUCCUGCCUGCCCCUGGUCACAACUGAGGGGGUGUGUAAAAGAGUUUCCUCUCUGUCAGUUUGCUCUUGAAUUUCAGUUAUUGUCAGGACCUGCUGCAUACACUUGGCUUGUUGGACAAGGAAGUUAUUCCACACUUCACCAUCUGCUGGUCAUCUUAGUACUUGACACAACCAUGCUCCUCUCCUGUCCCCCUUUUGUGGUUAUGCUCACUGCUCUUUUAUUUUUAUCAUGCUCCGUCUUCUAUCCUUCUACCUUAUUUUCCUUGCUUCUCUCUCUGGCACCAGUUUCUCCCCAAGCCUUGGAGAAUACUUGUCCCCAGCCCUUUUUCUGUUCUUAUUCUCUGUGGUUCACCUAGAAGUCCUUACUGCCACAGCUGUUGUUCUUAUGCUGACAUUUCUAACUUCAUGCUUAUUUCUCCUCCUUGUGAUGUGCCUGGAAAUACCACUCCUCUUCUGAAAACACCCACAGCCUUUUUAUAUCUUUCUGGCCCAGGGUAUAAAGGUUGAAAGCCAAUCAGAAUGAAUAUGCAGGCAGAAGAUUUGAUCAGAGAAAUAAGAAUUGUUUGGCAAGGAAGAGGGCACUAAGAAAGAAAAAAAUUAAAAUGUAAUGAAUGCAAACAUGGCCACAGGAUUCCCAAGAAUGCUCUGCAGCUUAAGAGCAAGAGCAGAAGGUGCAUAUGCAUGCGUUUAUAUCUGGCCAGUUCAAGUCAUGGCGUGGGAGCGCUCCCACAUCUCUCACCAAUACUAACCUUUUGCAUAUUAGCAAACACGAGUACCUCUUUCUCUUAUCUCCCAUAGAAUAGGAGACUGUGGCUUAGUUUAGUGUGAUGCAUAUGAAGUCAUGGCACUCUUCUCUCUUUUUUUACAUUUACCCACCUGCCUGUUCCGUCCAGACCACACCCACUCCGUGCACUCGGACAUGAAGCCCUCAGCCCAUAGGAAAUACCCUGAACUGCAGAAUACGAGGUGCACAUCCCCAAGGUUGACACCAAAUGAAAGAGAUCACUCAAUGGAAACCGUGUUCGUGUAAAUAAAUGUGGAAAAUGCAAGGGAAUGCUGUAAUCAAGAAAGCUUUGAUAGAAGCACGGGUUUUACCAACUUGAGUGGAAGAAUGUUGCUUGCUGCUAGCUUAUUACAUAUCUCAUCAGUCACUUUUGAAAAACAGAGCUUUUGUACCAAAGGCACUUGAAUUUUGCUUUUCUCAGUGUUGUAUACCCUAAACGUUGCUUUAAAAAAAUCAAGACAAAACUCUUAGGCAUAAGAUCCUCAUCCGUACAGCAAGAGGACAGUAUCGCUGGAAUCAGACCUACAUGAACCGAAGUGGGACCUACCAUUCACCUCCAGGCUCUGAGAAGAGGUUUCAAAAAAAUAAUUUUCCCCUUUGUUGUGUGGAAGUCAUGGCAACACCCUGGGAAUCUUGCCUAGUCAAAUGAGUCCAUGGACAUUGGCAUUCACAGAAAACAUGGGUGUCAGGAGGUCAGCUAAUCCACUUCCUACCCUUAGACUAGGUUGCCUAUGUUGAUCAGACAUCAUGACAGAGAAUAUUCUGUUUUUUAAAUGUCAGGGAUGCGAAGUCUUUAUUUCCCCAGGCCAUCAGUCACAGUCUGCACAAUACUCACAGAAGUUUGUUUUCUGUUUGCUGACUCACCCUUGCCCUGAAACUAGUUCAAUAUAAUUUUUCUGUUACUGUAAUUCACCAUUGCUUGGAGAUUAUCCUGGGCUGUGCAGGCUAGUAUUAAGCUAGAAAAGCAAGAGAUCAGGAUAGGAAGAAGGCAAAUAAAGUGCAAGAUUUUCUGCAACAUAUUGGUUAAUAGAGAAUAUAAAGAAAAGUUUUGCUCCUCAGAAGCUGUAUUAACAGUAUUAGAAAUGUGGCUUAAAAAACUGAAGACUUGAAACUGUAAUGAAUAGAAGCAGGAAGUUUAAUGUCUAUUACCUGGUGAGACUAGAACAGGGAAAUAAGCUCUUACCUGCUUAGGAAUGGAGAAGAGAGGGCUAUGUAGCUCAGGACAGCUAUAAUGUAAACAUAAACACGAACUGGUGUUGUAACUAAUAACACAGAAAGCUGCUGCUGAAGGCCUGCUGCAAAUCAUCCUACAGAAAUAUCAGUCUCUAAGUGGCUGUGCAUGAAGUGCAGAGAUGAAAUUGCUAGGGGCAACUGAACAGGUCGUAGGUAUGUCAAUUUUUAAGUUUCAGUACAACCUUUUCUGAUACUUUUCUAAUGUGUCAAAUAUUUAAUUUAAUAGAAAGUAACUGGUUUGAAUCUUAUCUUAGCAGACAAUCAACAGAAACUAUUUGCUAUGGAUAGAUUAUUUUAACACAGUUUUGUGUAAAGCAAGUAAGUAGACAAACAUCAAAAGAACUAAACUAUGACAGUUUACACAAUUAUUGUGUGUGCAUGUAUGUGUGUGUGUGAUAUUUAGAUAGAAAAAUGUGAACA